GACGGAGGGUGCUAGCGUUGUUCGGAUUUACUGGGCGUAAAGGGCGCGUAGGCGGCCAGAUCAGUCGGGUGUGAAAGCCCGGGGCUCAACCCCGGAACGGCACCCGAGACGGUUUGGCUGGAGACCGGGAGAGGAGGGUGGAAUAGCCAGUGUAGAGGUGAAAUUCGUAGAUAUUGGCUGGAACACCGGUGGCGAAAGCGGCUCUCUGGCCCGGUUCUGACGCUGAGGCGCGAAAGCGUGGGGAGCAAACAGG
rnacentral:rRNA from 1 species